UCCCCGUUCACCGGGGCAGUCCCCGCAGAGUGCCCGGCAUGACCCGGUAGCAGCAGCGGGCGAGGGUUGCGCUCGUUGCGGGACUUAACCCAACAUCUCACGACACGAGCUGACGACAGCCAUGCAGCACCUGUGCACAGGCCCCAAAGGGAGGGUGACUUUCAUCACCUGUCCUGUACAUGUCAAACCCAGGUAAGGUUCUUCGCGUUGCGUCGAAUUAAACCACAUGCUCCUCCGCUUGUGCGGGCCCCCGUCAAUUCCUUUGAGUUUCAGUCUUGCGACCGUACUUCCCAGGUGGAUUACUUAAUGCUUUCGCUCAGAGGCGUGCUGUGUAUCGCACACUUCGAGUAAUCAUCGUUUACGGCGUGGACUAC
rnacentral:misc_RNA from 1 species